rnacentral:rRNA from 1 species
UACGGAGGGUGCGAGCGUUAUCCGGAAUUACUGGGUUUAAAGGGUGCGUAGGCGGCUUUAUAAGUCAGUGGUGAAAUUUUUCAGCUUAACUGGAAAACUGCCAUUGAAACUGUGGAGCUUGAAUAGAGUUGAGGUCAGCGGAAUGUGACAUGUAGCGGUGAAAUGCAUAGAUAUGUCAUAGAACAUCGAUUGCGAAGGCAGCUGGCUAGGCUUUUAUUGACGCUGAGGCACGAAAGCGUGGGGAGCGAACAGG